UUGACCUCGGAUCAGGUAGGGAUACCCGCUGAACUUAAGCAUAUCAAUAAGCGGAGGAAAAGAAACCAACAGGGAUUGCCUCAGUAACGGCGAGUGAAGCGGCAAGAGCUCAAAUUUGAAAGCUGGCCCCCUCGGGGUCCGCGUUGUAAUUUGCAGAGGAUGCUUCGGGUGCAGCCCCCGUCUAAGUGCCCUGGAACGGGCCGUCAUAGAGGGUGAGAAUCCCGUCUGGGACGGGGUGUCUGCGUCCGUGUGAAGCUCCUUCGACGAGUCGAGUUGUUUGGGAAUGCAGCUCUAAAUGGGUGGUAAAUUUCAUCUAAAGCUAAAUACUGGCCGGAGACCGAUAGCGCACAAGUAGAGUGAUCGAAAGAUGAAAAGCACUUUGAAAAGAGAGUUAAACAGCACGUGAAAUUGUUGAAAGGGAAGCGUUUGCGACCAGACUCGCCCGCGGGGUUCAGCCGGCAUUCGUGCCGGUGUACUUCCCCGUGGGCGGGCCAGCGUCGGUUUGGGCGGCCGGUCAAAGGCCCUCGGAAUGUAUCACCUCUCGGGGUGUCUUAUAGCCGAGGGUGCAAUGCGGCCUGCCCGGACCGUGGAACGCG
rnacentral:rRNA from 1 species